UCGAUGGGAAACAGGUUAAUAUUCCUGUACUUGGUGUUACUGCGAAGGGGGGACGGAGAAGGCUAUGUUAGCCGGGCGACGGUUGUCCCGGUUUAAGCAUGUAGGCUGGUUAUCCAGGCAAAUCCGGAUAAUCAAGGCUGAGGUGUGAUGACGAGGCACUACGGUGCUGAAGUAACAAAUGCCCUGCUUCCAGGAAAAGCCUCUAAGCAUCAGGUAACAUCAA
rnacentral:rRNA from 1 species